AGCUUGCUUUCUUGCUGACGAGUGGCGGACGGGUGAGUAAUGCUUGGGAAUCUGGCUUAUGGAGGGGGAUAACGACGGGAAACUGUCGCUAAUAUCGCGUAGAGUCGAGAGACGAAAGUGUGGGACCGCAAGGCCGCAUGCCAUAGGAUGAGCCCAAGUGGGAUUAGGUAGUUGGUAGGGUAAAGGCCUACCAAGCCGACGAUCUCUAGCUGGUCUGAGAGGAUGACCAGCCACACCGGGACUGAGACACGGCCCGGACUCCUACGGGAGGCAGCAGUGGGGAAUAUUGCGCAAUGGGGGCAACCCUGACGCAGCCAUGCCGCGUGAAUGAAGAAGGCCUUCGGGUUGUAAAGUUCUUUCGGUGACGAGGAAGGCGUGAUGUUUAAUAGGCAUCACGAUUGACGUUAAUCACAGAAGAAGCACCGGCUAACUCCGUGCCAGCAGCCGCGGUAAUACGGAGGGUGCGAGCGUUAAUCGGAAUAACUGGGCGUAAAGGGCACGCAGGCGGCUAUUUAAGUGAGGUGUGAAAUCCCCGGGCUUAACCUGGGAAUUGCAUUUCAGACUGGGUAGCUAGAGUACUUUAGGGAGGGGUAGAAUUCCACGUGUAGCGGUGAAAUGCGUAGAGAUGUGGAGGAAUACCGAAGGCGAAGGCAGCCCCUUGGGAAUGUACUGACGCUCAUGUGCGAAAGCGUGGGGAGCAAACAGGGUUAGAUACCCUGGUAGUCCACGCUGUAAACGCUGUCGAUUUGGGGAUUGGGCUUUAAGCUUGGUGCC
rnacentral:rRNA from 1 species